UGAGCAUGGGAUGCUACACUGGGAACGGUCG
rnacentral:tRNA from 2 species